AGCGAACGCUGGCGGCAGGCCUAACACAUGCAAGUCGAACGGAUCCUUCGGGAUUAGUGGCGGACGGGUGAGUAACACGUGGGAACGUGCCCUUUGGUUCGGAACAACUCAGGGAAACUUGAGCUAAUACCGGAUGAGCCCUUCGGGGGAAAGAUUUAUCGCCAUUGGAGCGGCCCGCGUCUGAUUAGCUAGUUGGUGAGGUAAAGGCUCACCAAGGCGACGAUCAGUAGCUGGUCUGAGAGGAUGAUCAGCCACAUUGGGACUGAGACACGGCCCAAACUCCUACGGGAGGCAGCAGUGGGGAAUCUUGCGCAAUGGGCGAAAGCCUGACGCAGCCAUGCCGCGUGAAUGAUGAAGGUCUUAGGAUUGUAAAAUUCUUUCACCGGGGACGAUAAUGACGGUACCCGGAGAAGAAGCCCCGGCUAACUUCGUGCCAGCCGCCGCGGUAAAAC
rnacentral:rRNA from 1 species